rnacentral:tRNA from 1 species
GGGCAUGUAGCUCAGUUGGUUAGAGCGCGCCGUUCACAUCGGUGAGGCCGGCGGUUCGAGUCCGUCCAUGCCCA